rnacentral:rRNA from 1 species
CGCGUAGGAAACUACCCAGUAGUGGGGGACAACAGUUGGAAACGACUGCUAAUACCGCAUACGCUCUACGGAGGAAAGGGGGCUUCCGGACUCUUCGCUAUUGGAUGUGCCUGCGUGAGAUUAGCUAGUUGGUGGGGUAAAGGCCUACCAAGGCAACGAUCUCUAGCUGGUCUGAGAGGAUGAUCAGCCACACUGGGACUGAGACACGGCCCAGACUCCUACGGGAGGCAGCAGUGGGGAAUAUUGGACAAAUGGGGCGCAAGCCUGAUCCAGCCAUGCCGCGUGUGUGAAGAAGGGCUU